CUCCUCCGUGGCUCGCUUUGAAGCAGCAAAGCGGGAAAGGAGCCGCUUACACAGGUGUAAGUGGCUCCUGUCCAGCUUUGCUGCUUCAAAGUGAGCCACGGAGGAG